UUCUUUCCUGCACCAGGUUCUAUGGAGAAUUGGUUGCAUGGUUUCUCGUGCUGUGGGCAUCAGGGACUUCAGGUGAAGGUAUUUAGCUGUGGCUUUGUGCAAACCUCAGAACUGUGUCCUCCAAGGGCCUGGGGUAUUUGGCAGGCGCUGUCUCUUGCUGCCUUUGCUGCUGUAUGACAGACAAAAUAGAAGCCACCUGGAGGCAACUUCCUCACCCAUCGACAAGCUCACCAGCCUUCAUGCCUGUCCUUUGGAGCUUCCCUGCAGACAGUGGCAGCCACCUUCCUCGGGAACCACCUUCCUGGGCCUCUCCUUCAGUCAAGCUGCACAGCAGCAUUUUCUACACUUGCUCUGGCGGCAUCCUCACUGUCAUGCACUAGCGGUUGUUGGUGAGGUUCUUCAGGCUGCAGAUGGAGACAUGGGAAGGGCUGGACUGGCUCCCCUUCUCACUGUGGCUGGGCAGGGUAGGGGGUACCCCGG
rnacentral:lncRNA from 1 species